rnacentral:rRNA from 1 species
CCUACGGGAGGCAGCAGUGAGGAAUAUUGGUCAAUGGGCGAGAGCCUGAACCAGCCAAGUCGCGUGAGGGAGUACUGCCCUAUGGGUUGUAAACCUCUUUUGUCGGGGAGCAAAAGCCGGACGUGUCCGGCUGUGAGAGUACCCGAAGACAAAGCAUCGGCUAACUCCGUGCCAGCCGCCGCGGUAAUACGGAGGAUGCGAGCGUUAUCCGGAUUUAUUGGGUUUAAAGGGUGCGCAGGCGGAUUUUUAAGUCAGCGGUAAAAUCGUGGGGCUCAACCCCAUCCAGCCGUUGAAACUGGGGAUCUAGAGUGUGCGAGAGGCAGGCGGAAUGCGUGGUGUAGCGGUGAAAUGCAUAGAUAGCACGCAGAACCCCGAUUGCGAAGGCAGCAUACCGGUGCACAACUGACGCUCAGGCACGAAAGCGUGGGGAUCGAACAGGAUUAGAUACCCGAGUAGUC